AUGUUACUUGCCCGAGAUUCGAUCGUCGGUAUCUUCAUACCUAGUUCAAUCUCGUUACCGGCAAGUCUGUUACUCGUUCCGUUAUACAUCAUCCUGUAA
rnacentral:rRNA from 1 species